rnacentral:rRNA from 1 species
GCAAAACGCGAAGAACCUUACCUACUCUUGACAUCCAGAGAACUUUCCAGAGAUGGAUUGGUGCCUUCGGGAACUCUGAGACAGGUGCUGCAUGGCUGUCGUCAGCUCGUGUUGUGAAAUGUUGGGUUAAGUCCCGCAACGAGCGCAACCCUUAUCCUUUGUUGCCAGCGGUCCGGCCGGGAACUCAAAGGAGACUGCCAGUGAUAAACUGGAGGAAGGUGGGGAUGACGUCAAGUCAUCAUGGCCCUUACGAGUAGGGCUACACACGUGCUACAAUGGCAUAUACAAAGAGAAGCGACCUCGCGAGAGCAAGCGGACCUCAUAAAGUAUGUCGUAGUCCGGAUUGGAGUCUGCAACUCGACUCCAUGAAGUCGGAAUCGCUAGUAAUCGUGGAUCAGAAUGCCACGGUGAAUACGUUCCCCGGGUCUUGUACACCG